rnacentral:rRNA from 1 species
UGGGGAAUAUUGGACAAUGGGCGAAAGCCUGAUCCAGCCAUGCCGCGUGUGUGAAGAAGGCUUUUUGGUUGUAAAGCACUUUAAGUGGGGAGGAAAAGCUUGUGGUUAAUACCCAUAAGCCCUGACGUUACCCACAGAAUAAGCACCGGCUAACUCUGUGCCAGCAGCCGCGGUAAUACAGAGGGUGCAAGCGUUAAUCGGAAUUACUGGGCGUAAAGCGCGCGUAGGUGGUUAUUUAAGUCAGAUGUGAAAGCCCCGGGCUUAACCUGGGAACUGCAUCUGAUACUGGAUAACUAGAGUAGGUGAGAGGGGAGUAGAAUUCCAGGUGUAGCGGUGAAAUGCGUAGAGAUCUGGAGGAAUACCGAUGGCGAAGGCAGCUCCCUGGCAUCAUACUGACACUGAGGUGCGAAAGCGUGGGUAGCAAACAGGAUUAGAUACCCUGGUAGUCCACGCCGUAAACGAUGUCUACCAGUCGUUGGGUCUUUUAAAGACUUAGUGACGCAGUUAACGCAAUAAGUAGACCGCCUGGGGAGUACGGCCGCAAGGUUA